UACUUCUGAAACCAGCAGUAUGUCACCACCAGUUCAAGCUUGCAUCAGUGUGUAGCUGGACUCCUCGCAAAAGUAGUGACUCUGUUACAUUCUGAACAAUGUGCAGCAGCUGAGAGGGAGCCCAAACCUCACAGUCUUCACAUGGAGUGACACCUGCUGAGCUCUAGAUUACCAUCAAUUGCACAUAAAGUGGAUGCCAUAACCAAUGGUAUGAAAUGAUGACUAUUUCACAAGUGAAGCUGAUUGAUCAACUUGAGUAAUGAGGAAUUGAUAACCAGUUCACAUUACUGUGGCAGAAAGGUCGAAAACCUGAACCAGGCUUACUGAAGUUUCUCAAGACUGAAUGCAAAGAGUUGAAUAUUGCAACUCUGAAAAGCUGAAACGAAGACUGACAUUACACCAGAUAUUGCAUCCUGGCCAAUACUUAUCGCUUGAACAACUCACCCACGAAGCCCCAAACUUAUCUGGUGAUUAUCACAUUGCCAAUGGUGGACAACCUCCUCUAUUUCCUCUACUGUAACAUCAACUUUGAAAUGUUUCAUGGGGGGCCUGCAGAA